CUGGGCCCUGCAGGGUGACCACAACACCUCACAUUUGUAUCUGAAUUAACACCCUUUCAAAGGGCUUUUACAAAUUCUUCCAUACUUACUUUUUACAGGAAUCCUGUAAAAAAAGACAGGAUGGGUGCCAUUUACCCUCCUGUUUUAGAUGAGGAGGGAAGGUCGAUACCCACCAUUUCUGUGAGCCACAGAGCCAGGCAAAAGGAGAAAUUCCUCACCUAGGCUACAGGAAUGUUACUGAAGAAAAAGAUUACAGAAAGGAGAGUCACGUUGGUAAUUUGG
rnacentral:lncRNA from 1 species